GGUUUGUGGCUCAGUGGUAGAGUGCUCGCCUAGCAUGUGUGAGGCACUGGGUUCAAUCCUCAGCACCA
rnacentral:tRNA from 1 species